UACAGAGGUCUCAAGCGUUUGUUCGGAUUCAUUGGGCGUAAAGGGUGCGUAGGCGGCGCGGUAAGUCGGGUGUGAAAUUUCGGAGCUUAACUCCGAAACUGCAUUCGAUACUGCGGUGCUUGAGGACUGGAGAGGAGACUGGAAUUCAUGGUGUAGCAGUGAAAUGCGUAGAGAUCAUGAGGAAGACCAGUGGCGAAGGCGGGUCUCUGGACAGUUCCUGACACUGAGGCACGAAGGCCAGGGGAGCAAACGGG
rnacentral:rRNA from 1 species